GGGAUUGUAGCUCAAUUUGGUUAGAGCAUACCUCUGAUAAGGGUAAGGUUAAUAGUUCAAUUCUAUUUAAUCCCA
rnacentral:tRNA from 1 species